rnacentral:rRNA from 1 species
UACAGAGGGGGCAAGCGUUAUUCGGAAUUAUUGGGCGUAAAGAGCUCGUAGGCGGUUUGUCGCGUCUGCUGUGAAAGACCGGGGCUCAACUCCGGUUCUGCAGUGGGUACGGGCAGACUAGAGUGAUGUAGGGGAGACUGGAAUUCCUGGUGUAGCGGUGAAAUGCGCAGAUAUCAGGAGGAACACCGAUGGCGAAGGCAGGUCUCUGGGCAUUAACUGACGCUGAGGAGCGAAAGCAUGGGGAGCGAACAGG